GAAGUAAAAGUCGUAAUAAGGUCUCCGUAGGUGAACCUGCGGAGGGAUCAUUACAGAGUUCAUGCCCUACCGGGUAGAUCUCCCACCCUAUGUUAUUAUUACUUUGUUGCUUUGGCGGGCCGUUAGGCUCCGGCCCGACUACCGGCCCCGGCUGGUAAGCGCCCGCCAGAGGACCCAAAACCCUGAAUAUUAGUGUCGUCUGAGUACUAUAUAAUAGUUAAAACUUUCAACAACGGAUCUCUUGGUUCUG
rnacentral:misc_RNA from 1 species